rnacentral:rRNA from 1 species
UUACUACGGGACGCAGCAGUGGGGAAUAUUGCACAAUGGGGGAAACCCUGAUGCAGCGACGCCGCGUGAGUGAAGAAGUAUUUCGGUAUGUAAAGCUCUAUCAGCAGGGAAGAAAAUGACGGUACCUGACCAAGAAGCCCCGGCUAACUACGUGCCAGCAGCCGCGGUAAUACGUAGGGGGCAAGCGUUAUCCGGAUUUACUGGGUGUAAAGGGAGCGUAGACGGCUGAGCAAGUCAGAAGUGAAAGCCCGGGGCUCAACCCCGGGACUGCUUUUGAAACUGUAUGGCUGGAGUGCAGGAGAGGG